AGCAGCGUGUGCGCACAAAGUCCGUGUAGAGCUAGGCCCGCCUGAGACCAGCCCGCCCCCGGCCCAACUGGACUUUCUUCCACCCGUUCUGACUUCCCCAGGGUCUUGGCGCCCCGUGAAAGCAACAUCUGGAAAAGCGCGAGAAAGGUGAUUAGGAAGGCGGGGCGGGGUGAGAGGGGGUGGCGCGGAGAGGCAGAGGAUCGCCCACGGGGGAAGGAGGCGGUGCUCAAUGGUCCGUUUCUGCGAUUCGGCUGCUAAUCCAGCCUGUCGCGUCCUCCCCUCUGCCCUGCAGGCCUUCGGCCUCUGGGGACCAAUUUUUUCCGGAAGCAGAGAACCUGGGAGUCACCCGACACCCCCCAAACCUCCUCUCUCUCAGGACCUUUUCAAACGGCUGGUUUUCUCCCGUGAUAAACUAUAGCUCACUUUGGCCUGAUUUAGUUUCUAAUAAUAGUCCUAACUUUGAGAUGUAUGUUGGAGGGCUGUUUUGUUUUAGUUUGCUUUUUUUGCUGACCUUCAGGCAAAUGGAAGUUCUGUUUUCCGUUCAGAAGCCACAGCAUUUCAUUUUUCUCUCUUUUCGUUUUUUUUUUUUUUUUUAAGUUCANNNNNNNNNNNNNNNNNNNNNNNNNNNNNNNNNNNNNNNNNNNNNNNNNNNNNNNNNNNNNNNNNNNNNNNNNNNNNNNNNNNNNNNNNNNNNNNNNNNUUUUUCUCUCUUUUCGUUUUUUUUUUUUUUUUUAAGUUCAGCCACUUUCUCACCCUCGCCAAAACCUUACACACAAACUAACAGCCUCUACCCACUGUUUAUACCAAAACGUCUCUCUCGACUGUUCUGUCCUGGAGAAAGUGGGUUUAUCCUUCCCGGUGGGCCGAGUCCCCCAGGGUCAGGAUUUAGGUCUGCUUUGUCCCAAGGAGGAGCUGACCCCUCACCAAGGUCGCCCGAGAGGGGGCCCUUUUCUAACUGGUCCCCUCACCAGCACCCCCAGUGCCUUGCGACUUGUAAAUGGUUUGGAGCUAUUUGCCAAUUCAGCAGACACUCCUGUCUUGAUGGAAAUGUUUAGCUUGGCGCUUCCUCCCAGCGGCGGCGGGUGUGCUCGGGGCCCAGGCCUCCAGCCCUUCGAGCGAUGCGGCCACGGGGCCUUUCUAAUCUGGAUUAGGAGACGACGCGAAGCGAGGCGGCGGGAGAACAGGGCGGGCUUUGUUCUGUCCUGGAGCGCCCCAGGCAUUCCGUGUGGUGCAACUUCUGAAUGGGUGGUGGGCGUACCUACAAGGUCCGCAUUUCUCUGCCUUCCCCACGCGGAAAAACAAGCACAGGGCCUCCCCGAACAACAGGCCUAAUGAGCUUUGACCAGAUGCUCAUUAAACUGGAGGGGAAGGCUGGGGAUUCCCUCAGAUUCUCAGAUGGGCAACCAAAGCCCAGUCCGGCCUGCGGGGAAGGCCAGAUCCUUCCGCCAGCCCUGAGCAAGGCAGGCGUGGACCUGCAGACGGGCUCUGCCUCUCACACCCCGCUCCUGUCUGUAUGAAGGAUUAGAUCAUGCUUUCUGGUUGGCCUAAUUCUGCAGUCCUGAUACAUGCACCGAUAUUCGUUUAGUCGAAGGGCAUCACCGCGCCCGGCUAGCUGUCUCAGCACUGGCGCCUUAGAAUGUAUUCUCUUACGUAGGAAACAGGACAAAUAAUCACCCCCUCAUAGAUGUCUUUUCUUCUUGUAAGAGAAAAAAAAAAGACCCUUUAUUGACGACAGACCACCGACUGCUCAAGUAAAGAGAUCUAAACUUUGAAAGGCCCACAUAUUUAAAAAGCAGUGGUAAGAAAUAAUGUGGGGGAAACUUUGAUGUAAAGUGUCCAAAGAUGUAAAAUCAAAAUCUCGACAACUUUUAAAACUUUUCUGACAGUAACAGCUCAUCCUGUAAGCAUUAUCUACUGCUUACAUUUAAACAUUUUCUAAAUUGGCAUGAAAUGGUAAGAAACAUAAGGUGUAUGUUAAUAUAUAUCUUCCCUUGAUUAAAACUACAUAGAAAUAACAUAAGACAUUGAGGCCCUGACCCUCAUGUGACGUUCUUACAUUGAGUUUAGGGUCCUGAGAGCAUGUUUGCUGAUGAUAAGGAAGUCCUCCAGAGCAGGCAGUCUUUGAAAACUGCAGCUGUGAUGCAAGCGGGCCCUCAUAUUUAUCAGAAUCGUGCAGCAGGCAGUAGCAUUUAGUUUCUAGCACUUCCCAGAAGGAUGUCUGCCCUUAUAAAAUAUAAGUACUCAUUACACAUUGGCAGCCUUGGCAGUUUUCUUAAAAUAAUUUAGACAAAGUACUUCAGCACUGAUAAUGCGUUUGGAAAGGUGUCUCCGGCUUCCACCAGAGCCCUGGCCCUGGUCACCCCUUAGCUCCCGGCUAAUGAGGGUGGUGGGGGAGUUCGGGGUGGUGGUGGCUGUUUCUAAGGGCUGAGUGUGAGGGGCUGUGGACCCGAAGCUGCACGCAGGAGGGUCGCCAGCAGACUGUCAGUCGCGGCCUCGCCAUCCCCGACUUCAGGGCAGACACUUAUGCCAUCCUUGUAACUAUGAAAAAGUAGCCUGAAACUCGGCAGCCCCUUCCCAAACUGUCCUGAAACAUCUACGGUUGGAACUCUCAAAUCCACAAGAUUGCAAACUGGUUUGAAUUAGGGGCUGCGCCCCACCGCGCCUUUCAUCGCUUUUAGUUCUGCGGGUCGAGCCAUCGGCGUGGCGACGCCUCACGGAGCGGUUCCCGUGGCCCGGUGCCUGGAGAGAAUCCGGCCCCGGCUAAAUUCGGAGAGGGGAGCAGAGAUCCCCACCUCACUGUACGGCUGGUCUUCGAGGCUACAGGGUGGCCCUGCCCCACUGGGGAAGAAACCGGGCCAUCCCUCUUUCCUAAAGAAGCCUCGCUUCUCUCCAAAAUGUCCUUCUUUUGUGGCUCUGUCGGCCCUAACCUCGCUGGUCCCCAAGCCGCCUGCAUAUGAACCGAGUUUCUACAGCGGGAUCUGCCGAGCGGCUGCACCAGCGAAGGCCAAGUGCGCGAACUCAGCGCUAGAGAAGAGGAGACACCUAUUGGCAAGAAGGCGCGUUCGAAAUCAGGGCC
rnacentral:lncRNA from 1 species